CUUAAUCUGGUGUAUGCAAGAUCUUGUAAAAGCCACAUGUUGCUGUUCUUUUUAAUCUUCUUCUUUGCUUGUAAAUCCCUUGUACUGCAUAGAAGAUAUUGUAAGCAUAAAAUACCAUUUUUGCAAGAACACUUCCCACUGUUCACAACCAAAAUAUGAGAAUUUCAACUUCUUAUUUGUAAAUUUUGUACUAAAACAUAAAAAAAUAGUAUUUUCUAAUUCUUUUCACACUCUAAAUCAAAUCUUCCAAUAAUAAUAAAGAUAUAUCUAAUUUUUUGGUGGACGACAUUCUAAAAUUUAUUAUUUAAAUUGAUAUUCAUAGCUUUGUGAAAACUUCUAUGUAUGCACAUAUAUUGUUAUCGAUUUUUCUUUUAAAAAAGGUUUGUGAACAUUAAGCUGAAUAUGCUUACUCAGUUUAGAAACAUAUUUGUACUGUUACAUUUGAUUUAUUGACCAAUAUAAUAUUCUUGGUUCUGUUGAAUUAUUUACUUGACUUCACAUAGGUCCAAUUCUGCUGUUGGUUCACGGAUAAUAAUUCUUCACUAGUUUAAAAAAGACGCAAUUUGAACAUAGAUAAUCCAUAUCAGAUACUAGUCUCCCAAUAAUACAGUCUAUAGGUUUUGACUUGUCUCAUUUCAGGCCAAAGAAUAUCUUAAAACUUUCACAUGUUAAAGUGUACACUCCUUGAUCCAGAGAAGGGAAGGAGGGGCUAUGGGAUGAUAUGCCCCACAUGGGUUGGAG
rnacentral:lncRNA from 1 species